CCUACGGGAGGCAGCAGUGGGGAAUUUUGGACAAUGGGGGCAACCCUGAUCCAGCCAUUCCGCGUGAGUGAAGAAGGCCUUCGGGUUGUAAAGCUCUUUCGCAAGGGAAGAAAACUUAUGAUCGAAUAAAUCAUGAGGUUGACGGUACCUUGAUAAGAAGCACCGGCUAACUACGUGCCAGCAGCCGCGGUAAUACGUAGGGUGCGAGCGUUAAUCGGAAUUACUGGGCGUAAAGCGUGCGCAGGCGGUUUUGUAAGUCGGAUGUGAAAUCCCCGGGCUCAACCUGGGAACUGCGUUCGAAACUGCAAGGCUAGAGUGUGUCAGAGGGGGGUAGAAUUCCACGUGUAGCAGUGAAAUGCGUAGAGAUGUGGAGGAAUACCAAUGGCGAAGGCAGCCCCCUGGGAUAACACUGACGCUCAUGCACGAAAGCGUGGGGAGCAAACAGGAUUAGAUACCCUGGUAGUCCACGCCCUAAACGAUGUCAACUAGUUGUUGGUAGAGUAAAAUCUAUGAGUAACGUAGCUAACGCGUGAAGUUGACCGCCUGGGGAAGUCGGUCGCAAAGGAUUAAAAACUUCAAAAGUAGUUAAGUUACGGACGGCGNGGAGAGCGACGACGACGACGACGGAGGAGGAGG
rnacentral:rRNA from 1 species